rnacentral:rRNA from 1 species
GAUGAACGCUGGCGGCGUGCCUAAUACAUGCAAGUCGAGCGAAUGAAUUAAGAGCUUGCUCUUAUGAAGUUAGCGGCGGACGGGUGAGUAACACGUGGGUAACCUGCCCAUAAGACUGGGAUAACUCCGGGAACCCGGGGCUAAUACCGGAUAACAUUUUGAACCGCAUGGUUCGAAAUUGAAAGGCGGCUUCGGCUGUCACUUAUGGAUGGACCCGCGUCGCAUUAGCUAGUUGGUGAGGUAACGGCUCACCAAGGCAACGAUGCGUAGCCGACCUGAGAGGGUGAUCGGCCACACUGGGACUGAGACACGGCCCAGACUCCUACGGGAGGCAGCAGUAGGGAAUCUUCCGCAAUGGACGAAAGUCUGACGGAGCAACGCCGCGUGAGUGAUGAAGGCUUUCGGGUCGUAAAACUCUGUUGUUAGGGAAGAACAAGUGCUAGUUGAAUAAGCUGGCACCUUGACGGUACCUAACCAGAAAGCCACGGCUAACUACGUGCCAGCAGCCGCGGUAA